rnacentral:rRNA from 1 species
UACGGAGGGUGCAAGCGUUAAUCGGAAUUACUGGGCGUAAAGCGCGCGCAGGCGGACUAUCAAGUCAGAUGUGAAAUCCCGGGGCUUAACCCCGGAACUGCGUCUGAAACUGUUAGUCUAGAGUCUCACAGGGGGUAGGGGAAUUUCACGUGUAGGGGUAAAAUCCGUAGAGAUGUGAAGGAACACCGGUGGCGAAGGCGCCUACCUGGAUGAGUACUGACGCUGAGGCGCGAAAGCGUGGGGAGCAAACAGG